ensembl:lncRNA
UAGGAUCAGGCCAUCCCUGUACACAAUUGUUGUUCUCUCAGGAAGAUGGAUGCGUGUGUUCCCAGGGCAGAUGGCUGUGAUGCUCCUCUCUGUGCAUGGCUCACAGAUUAACAUCCCGCUCAGGUGUCAGAACUGAUGAGGCAGCACUGGUGUACAGCAUUGCACCAUUUGCAUCAGUGCUGUACUGUUCUGCAAUGAGGAUGUCAACAUCACCGACUGUGAACACUGUGAAACUGCUACAAGGUAAAAUAUAUGCUAACAUGUCUGUCAC